rnacentral:rRNA from 1 species
GAUGAACGCUGGCGGCGUGCUUAACACAUGCAAGUCGAACGGAAAGGCCCAAGCUUGCUUGGGUACUCGAGUGGCGAACGGGUGAGUAACACGUGGGUGAUCUGCCCUGCACUUCGGGAUAAGCCUGGGAAACUGGGUCUAAUACCGGAUAGGACGAUGGUUUGGAUGCCAUUGUGGAAAGUUUUUUCGGUGUGGGGUGAGCUCGCGGCCUAUCAGCUUGUUGGUGGGGUAAUGGCCUACCAAGGCGUCGACGGGUAGCCGGCCUGAGAGGGUGUACGGCGACAUUGGGACUGAGAUACGGCCCAGACUCCUACGGGAGGCAGCAGUGGGGAAUAUUGCACAAUGGGCGCAAGACUGAUGCAGCGACGCCGCGUGGGGGAUGACGGCCUUCGGGUUGUAAACUCCUUUCGCUAGGGACGAAGCGUUUUUGUGACGGUACCUGGAGAAGAAGCACCGGCUAACUACGUG